AGGGCCGUAGGUAAGUGGUAUACCGGGCGUCUCCAAAACGCUCAUCGGGGGUUCGAUUCCCUCCGGCCCUG
rfam:Candidatus Woesebacteria bacterium RIFCSPLOWO2_01_FTLL_39_25 rifcsplowo2_01_scaffold_66, whole genome shotgun sequence.